rnacentral:rRNA from 1 species
UACGUAGGGGGCAAGCGUUGUCCGGAAUCAUUGGGCGUAAAGAGCGUGUAGGCGGCCCGAUAAGUCCGCUGUGAAAGUCCAGGGCUCAACCCUGGAAUGCCGGUGGAUACUGUCGGGCUCGAAUCCGGAAGAGGUGAGUGGAAUUCCUGGUGUAGCGGUGAAAUGCGCAGAUAUCAGGAAGAACACCCGUGGCGAAGGCGGCUCUCUGGUACGUGACUGACGCUGAGACGCGAAAGCGUGGGGAGCAAACAGG